rnacentral:lncRNA from 1 species
CAUCAGAGGAAAGCAAGCAGAAGCACUUCACCAAGGUUCUGGAUGAGGGAAAGAGGAGGUGAAACCAACCCUGCAUCAGGCCUGAGGCAUCCAACCCAAAAGGAGGCUGACUCCACAGUCUGGCAAAGGGCUUCAACCUGUUUGGGAGCAUCUCUGUAAGGGGAGCUGCUGGGCAGCAGGACUGUGRUACGCCUGUUCCCGUUGUAAACUGUUACUGAUGAGUGCCCUGAAAUUCAGGCAGACAGACAUAAACAAGUAGGUACGCUGGCUUGAUCUGCACUGAUUGGUUCCCCUCAAGCAUAUGUACUGSGCAAAGGAUUUGAAUGUGCAUAGGAGAGCAGAGCUGCCGGUAUCUGAUGAGCUGCAAARGUUGUGUUGCCUCAUGGCUUUAUGCUCCCUGAGCCCUGGAUUUCAGGAUGGGUCACCUUGCUCUUCUGAGAUGUAGCUGUUGAGCUGGGGUGGAAUGAGCUCCACACGCAGACCAGGAGCUGCAAAGGCAGCUGUGAGCCUGAAUCCUAUCAAAUCAAUGGGAAUUAGAUAYGUGUAUGGUUCUGCAGCUCUGCUUCGCAGUGAUCUUGGCAUAUAUCAAUAGCAGAGCUCGAGGGACAAGUCAGCAGGAUGGAGGACCACAUGCCACCUGUAUUCAGGCAAGGCUGCUCUGGCUUUAGACGGGCAAACUUUUCAAUGUGGUGGCUGACCUGGAACCAGGGGGAAAUUAUUCCAGGUAGGACAAGUGCAGACAUGUGUGCCUUUUGCUGUGCUUGUUGUUCUUUCAGCAGAUAAAUGCAGUGGGUGCAUUGAUAUGCUUGCUUCAGCUCCCUUGACUCAGGUUGUGAAAGGUGAAACCUCUUAUACCUGUGCUCUGGAGACAUCUGCCAGCUCUUGGCCACUGUUUGAGCAAUAGCAUCARGCACUCCUGGCUGCCUCAGUCCUGUCGUAAGCUUGUUUGGGCUUCUGUGAGCUUGUGGUGGUGCUUAAAACAUGUAUGAAUAUGUUUCAGCUGUUAUUCCCUCAUUUCAAAAGGUCUCUAGACAAAGAGAAGACAAUGACAUGUCUCCUAGACCUGUGCAACCAAGGAGUCUUAUCCUACAGGCCAGACUAACAGCAUUUCAGAGAAACCAGGCUUAUGAUGAUGGCAUCUCUGGCAGAGAGGCCCAGAAAAGUGYCUAAGAAACAUGCCUGGUCUCAUGAUGUUCAACAAGACAGUGCCUGUGGAAAAGCAAUAAUGGCUAGAAGUAAUGAUGCUUGCUGCUUCCGGAGUCUCUUAUCUGUGAGUGCUUUGUAAAAGUGUCACCUCCCUACCACCAAGAGAAAGUU